AGCUGUGAGAGAGUCUCGCAGCACACAGUGGGGAAGGCGUACCCCUGUCCUUACCAUGAAUAAGUUUACCACUAGGUCUGCACUCAGUUGCAGUUCCUGGAAACUGACCUGGAUUGUGACAGUUGCUGGGGAGGAUGUCAGAGAAGAUGUGAUGUGGAGAAGGCAGGAAGGCAAGCCUGGGAGAGGCAGAAGCCAACUGGACCCGAAGCAGUGGUAGGAAGAGGUCUCGGCUCUCAUCUCACAAAGGACUCUGAAGUCAGACUGGCCCUUCAGAGGAGCUGCGGUCGAAGCGAGGUCAUGCUGGCCACUGCGACUUCCCAUCAGACAGUCACAGGCCAUGGCCACACUAGAGCAAGGCCAGAGUGAAGACUUCUGCAGUUGGGGAAUACCUGGGGAGAGGCAGCAGGCCAGCCGCGUGCCACACAGCUCAGGAGGGGUGUUUUUGAAGCCCAAAAGAGUAUAUCCAAUACCUUGAAUCUGGAGGUACAAGCGACUAUGAGCCACCAACUGAUGUGGGUUCUGGGAAUUGAACUUUGGUCCUAUGAAAAUGCAGCAAGUUCUCUUAACCAGUACAGAAGCUCCCCUUAAAAUGAUGUGCCCCUGGGUGACGUGUGACCAUGCCUUGAUGCCGAAGGCAGUUCCUACGGGAAUUCUCUUGUGGACUGUCACGAGCUGUUAUCCCCAGAAGCUGACAAUCACGCUGGAGGUACCACCAUGGCAUCCGUGGACACAUCUCAGGUUUACCUGCCUCCUUUCAAGUGGGGGACCACACAGCUUAUUGGCAUGGAUGUUAGAAAGGAAAUGAGGCAAGGCAUGUUUAAAAUCCUGAAAUUGUACUCUGUGAAUAUGAGUUUCUAUUCUCUAUUUCAAAAGUAUUUAUUUGCUAUUUUUAUCUACGUGUAUAUGCACAUGCCUGCAUGAGUUUAUAUGUAUUACAUACAUGCAGGUGCCUGCAG